rnacentral:rRNA from 1 species
AAUCAACGCUGGCGGCGUGCCUCAGACAUGCAAGUCGAACGCGAAAGUCUCCUUCGGGGGACAAGUAGAGUGGCGCACGGGUGAGUAACACGUAGGUAAUCUACCUUCGGAUGGGGAAUAACAAUCGGAAACGGUUGCUAAUACCGCAUAAUGCAGCGGCACCUAAUGGUGACAGUUGUUAAAGCGGGGGAUCGAAAGACCUCGCGUCUGAAGAGGAGCCUGCGGCGGAUUAGCAGUUGGUAAGGUAAUGGCUUACCAAGGCUACGAUCCGUAACCGGCCUGAGAGGGCGGUCGGUCACACUGACACUGACAUACGGGUCAGACUCCUACGGGAGGCAGCAGGUCGGGAAUUUUGGGCAAUGGGCGAAAGCCUGACCCAGCAACGCCGCGUGAAGGAUAG